AUUGAACGCUGGCGGCAGGCUUAACACAUGCAAGUCGAGCGAGCGGCGGACGGGUGAGUAAUGUCUGGGAAACUGCCUGAUGGAGGGGGAUAACUACUGGAAACGGUAGCUAAUACAGCAUACCAUCAGAUGUGCCCAGACGGGAUUAGCUAGUCGGGGGGGUAAUGGCUAACCUAGGCGAAGAUCCCUAGCUGGUCUGAGAGGAUGACCGGCCACACUGGAACUUAGACAAGUUCCAGACUCCUACGGGAGGCAGCAGUGGGGAAUAUUGGGCAAUGGGCGCAAGCCUGAUGCAGCCAUGCCGCGUGGGUGAAGAAGGCCUUCGGGUUGUAAAGCACUUUCAGCGAGGAGGCGUUACUCGCAGAAGAAGCACCGGCUAACUCCGUGCCAGCAGCCGCGGUAAUAC
rnacentral:rRNA from 1 species